rnacentral:pre_miRNA from 1 species
AGAGGGAUAGCUGGGUCAAAUGGUGGUUCCAUUCCCAGAUUUCCAAGGAAUAUCCAUACUGCUUUCCCUAUUGGUUGUACCAAUUUGCAGUCCCACCAGCAAU